CACACUCCGGGAUGCUGAGAUUCU
rnacentral:misc_RNA from 1 species